UUUUAUUUACUAUCGAACCUGUCUUUCCCAAAAGAGACUAAAAGCAAGACAAUUGGAAGGGUGGAAAAGAAUUUUCGACAAAGAUCUUAUAUAAACCUAAUUACACAGGCCAUUGCUCUUAAUUGACACUAUAGUUUUCAGACUCAUUGUGCAAAGAAUCAAAAUAGGGAUGGACAUGCUGAACUGCUUCAACGUACAAAGGUGUCUGCAUCUCAAUCAAACGCGAGACCUGCAUCAAAAGGAUCUUCCGUUCAACACAAUAUCCUCG
rnacentral:misc_RNA from 1 species